CAAGCAUGAAGGCGGCAUUGUCUGGUCCCACUCUGGGCCUGAUCUGUUCCCUCCCUGCUCAGACACCGCUCUGAGACCAGGAUGUCCAUGACUGGCACGACCGCUGUGGAGAGGCCGAGCCUGGCAGCAGGUGUCCCCUCCUCCCUUGGAAACAAAGCAAGGACAGCACACGUGGGAAGUUAGAGCCGGGCCAAGGGACUCAGAUGCAGGCGCGUGAGCAACUGCAGAGAUGUGUCAGCCGUGGGCGGGCGUGCUUCUGGCUGGCCCAGAAGACAGGCUGAGCAGGUAGGACAAGGGGAACGGAGGAGCCCAAGAUGGGAAGGAAGCUGAGCAACGAGCACCGUCCCGGGGGACCACAGUCCAGUGAUGCUUGGUUUGUUUUCUUGUUCACUGUGCACCAGGAGAAGGGCAGCCUCCUGUCUGGUGACCCCGCAAGACAUCAGUCAGUGCCCCCCCCAAUUGAAGAAGGAGAUGCAUGCUGGGAAGAUGGACAAACCUACAUGAGGAGGGCAACUGCUGUCCCCGCUUGGUCCAAAGGGGAUGGGAAAGGAGUGGGGCGAAAGCCAAGGCCAAGGCUUCCUAUGUCUGAAUUCACAGCAGUUGCCAGGAGCCUUCUCAUGGGAAGCAGCAUUCCAGGACCAGCACCAAGCCUACCCUGGCUCUCACCUGCCCAUCACAUGACUGGGUCCACCCACAGCACCGGGCAAGUCAAACAUACCCCUGUGGUGUGGUGCUGGCAGCUGGGCAGACACCUAGCAGCUGCCUCCACUACAAGGCAGGGACACAGCUCUGUGCAUUCAUUCCACUUGUCAGUCCAGACACCGGGACAGAAAGGAGCUGUCCGUCUACUUGCCUUUCUUCUGUCCUUCCUCCAGGCAGAGUAACCUGGGGGGAGUGCCGUAACCCUGGGGGAGCUGGGCCCUGUUAGGAGUGAGCCUGCCCAGCGAACGAGACAAUGGGACCUGUGCAGAGACGUGUGUGCCUGCUGAUUCCCCUCCAGCUCCUGCUCGCUUCAGGAACCAGCUGUUCUGCAGGGAGAUGAUGAGGCAAUAGCUCUGGCUCCCAGCCAAGAAAGAGCACUCACCCUCACUGACAGAAGCCAUAGAUUCACAAGCACAGCCCAUGAGGUGUCCACCCUUCUGGAACCACAGAGCCCCAGAGCCCUGAGCUCCCUGGCUGAAGUUCCCAAGGGGCCAGCAUGGGAAGCUCAAACUCUGACUCACACACAUGGCUGCAAGAGGCAAGGCGACCUCACACCAAAGUGUUCCCAGCACCUGGCCACUGUUUGC